UUAUGUUAAUCAAGUUCGUCAACUUUUUUUUCUUGUGCUUGCUGUUUUAUGUUGUUGGUUAUUUUCUCUUGUUGAGGUUACUUUUAUCUUUAUGCUUUUUCAGAGAGUAAAGGCAUUGAAGAAGAAGUUGUCUUCUGCUAGUAGAAGGAAUGUGGUUAGUCCUCCUUCUUUUGCCAUGCUCUCAUUCGGUUCUAGUUUAUUCAUCUUAGUAAUUAUGUUUUUCUUACCUUGUAUAUAAUUUCUGGCUGUAGGAGCGCACUAAAGGAAAAUGAUUCCAGCAAUGUUUUUGUGUGUGAGAUUUUGUUUUCAUGUACUCAACAUUCUCUUCUAAGUUUGUUGCCAUUUAUUGGUACUCACAUUUAGGAUGAGAUCUUCCUGUGGCAUUGACAGUAGCUCGUCUUCUGUUAUUGUUCUUGUCAAGCUCCCCAUCUGCAUUUUUGGAAAAGAAAUGUCAGUAAUAGUACAACUAACAUAUGUAUUUAUCUGGAUGUGUGUUAUUGGUCUUUUCCAAGUAGCAUUGCAGUAUUGUUUUAGUCUGCAUUUUGUAUAGUCGAGA
rnacentral:lncRNA from 1 species